rnacentral:rRNA from 1 species
UACAGAGGGGGCAAGCGUUAUUCGGAAUUAUUGGGCGUAAAGGGCGCGUAGGCGGCUUUGCAAGUGACGGGUGAAAUCCCUCGGCUUAACCGAGGAACUGCCUGUCAAACUGCAUGGCUUGAGACCGGGAGAGGUGAGUGGAAUUCCCAGUGUAGCGGUGAAAUGCGUAGAUAUUGGGGAGGAACACCAGUGGCGAAGGCGGCUCACUGGACCGGUACUGACGCUGAUGCGCGAAAGCGUGGGGAGCAAACAGG